UGGGGAAUAAUGUAACGGCAGCAUACGUGACUCUGACUCACGGCGUCGGGGUUCAAAUCCCUGUUCCCCAGCCA
rnacentral:tRNA from 2 species